rnacentral:rRNA from 1 species
UACGAAGGGGGCUAGCGUUGCUCGGAAUCACUGGGCGUAAAGCGCACGUAGGCGGACUCUUAAGUCAGGUGUGAAAUCUCGGGGCUCAACCCCGAAACUGCACUUGAUACUGCCUUGCUAGAGUACUGGAGAGGAGAUUGGAAUUUACGGUGUAGCAGUGAAAUGCGUAGAUAUCGUAAGGAAGACCAGUGGCGAAGGCGAAUCUCUGGACAGUUACUGACACUGAGGCACGAAGGCCAGGGGAGCAAACGGG